rnacentral:tRNA from 1 species
GAUCCAGUAGCUCAGCGGCAGAGCGCCAGCGCGACGAGCUGGAGGUCGCGGGGUCGGUUCCCGCCUGGAUCA